rnacentral:rRNA from 1 species
UACGUAGGGUGCAAGCGUUGUCCGGAAUUAUUGGGCGUAAAGAGCGUGUAGGCGGUCCGGUUAGUCCGCUGUGAAAGUCCAGGGCUCAACCCUGGAAUGCCGGUGGAUACUGUCGGGCUAGAGUCCGGAAGGGGCGAGUGGAAUUCCUGGUGUAGCGGUGAAAUGCGUAGAUAUCUGGAGGAACACCGGUGGCGAAGGCGGCAUCCUGGACCGGCAUUGACGCUGAGGAGCGAAAGCCAGGGGAGCAACGGG